AGGGAAGAGCCAGAAGUUGCAAAGUGCUAGAUCAUGUGAACAGGGUGAAUGAGGACACAUCACAAUGUUUUCAUGAGCCUGUUUUUCCAUUGGAUGGCAUGCAGCAGGAGCAGCCACUGCAUUUUCUCUCAUACCUCAUAAAAGAAACACAAAAGGGACUUCCAGAACUCCUCUAGAAAGUGGCAAGAAUAAAGAGGUUUUGCAUCUUGUUGUUGAAUCCCACUGCUUCAUCUUUCCUGGAUUUCAACUUCAAUCUGCUGAAGGACAUUGCAGAACAGCACAUUAGGAGAAAACGUUUGCCAAAAACCCUGCUCUGGAGAGGGCAAGACAAACCUGUAGUUAAGAGAACUAUGUCUGGAAAGAUCACCAAGGUUUUAGUCUGACCCACUGGUGAACAUCAGCAAUACUAUUCAAGCAAGGCCUCAGCUUCUGCAUUUGUGAAAUGGUCAUCACCAUGGCACCCACAAAAACUCUCUGUCACACAGAGGUGAAGACCCCAUCAGUUGACUCAUAAUACUGAGAACAAGACUGGGCACACAGUAAAUGUUCAACAAAGAGCUUUGCUUUUCCCUUUUGUGGCUAUUCCUAUGAUGAUAAAUUGUCAUGAUCACAUUGAAUUCUGUUUGUAUCAAAUGAUGUUCUUCAAGAAAAGGAAAUUUUUAAAUAUAUCUCUGAGAUGAAAUGGUCAGAGAGACAGGGUAUGAGCUAGUUCAGUAAUUCUAUGUUAAAGGUAUGAAAAAUAAUUAGUUGUCCAAACAGAUAAAGACACCAUUAUUAUUUGCACCAGAUUUCACUUUUUUUUUCAGAUUCUUGCUCUGGUAAACUGUAUGGUAUUAAACAAAUCAUUUAUUUACUUCAAGAUUUCAUUGCAGUGAUAUGGUCACUUUGGUCUAUGAGAUUUCAUAGAUCCUUUUUUUUUGUUGGUACUGGGGAUCGAACUCGGGUCCUUGCACUUGCGCCGCAGGCAGCAAAACCACUGAGCUAAAUCCCCAGCCCUCAUAGAUCCUUUUGAACAAUAAGAUUUCAAGAAUCUGUGUGCUAUAUAUCUAAAUUGAUGCUUACAGAGAGAUUGAGAUGAGUAGGGUCACUCUUACGGAAAAACUUGGGGAAAGUGGAUAAAGACUAUAAUAUUGGGUUCUAUAAGAUGAAUCCUUAACUCUCAGAGGAAAAUAGUAUGAUCAGGUUCUGUUUUACCCUAUGAUUUAUAUGUGAAUUACCUGUACUUGUCUUUGAAAAAUGGUGGUGAGAGCGAAAAGUUUUCUGCAUUCAUAGAGCUUACAAUUUACUGUGGAAGAAAAGGAAAUAAAGUAACUAAUCAAGAACAGGGGUGUGUAAUUCUAUAAACACCUCCAACACAAAAGCCAUGAGAACAGAAGGAAACAAGCAUUUUGAGGGGCCUGAAUUCAUUUGUCUGGUGAAAAGAAGAAAGAUAGAGGAGACACUAAAUGAGUCUGGUGGGGGUAGAGCCUUGGGACUCAUGAUUAAACAAAUGAGUUUUAAAAAAAUUUUUUAAAUUCACUGCUUUUUAAAAAGAAUAACUAUAGCAAAUAUUAGUUGAGUCCUCAGUAUGUACCAAUAUGCUUUCCUAAGUGCCUUUCAUGUAUUCCUGUAUGAAUUCAUUUUAUCCUUACAAUAACCCCAUGAGAUGGGAACUGUUACUAUCCUAUUUUAUAGACAAACAGCUGAUACAAAAAGAGUUUAGUUGACUUUCUAAAAAUCACAUGUCUAGAAAGUCUCCAAGCUAGAUUCAUUCCUAUGCAGUCUGGCUAUAAAAACCAUCCUCUGAAAUCAUGUGCUUUACAAGUAUGCUUCAUAGCCUGAAAGUUUCACGUGUUUGAUUUAUGUAAACUAAAACUUUUCCAGAGGUGAUUUUGACUCUUCUUUUCCCUACCUUGACAUGAUACAAUGUUACAUAAUGUUUGUCAAUGAAAUGAAGCCAAUAAGCAAAGAGGUUAUGAUAAUAUUUGAAAGACCACUUUUUAAAAGUGUAGGUAUCUUAGGUAGAUGAAUAGACGCAGAGAGAACAAUGAUCAAAACAAAUGAGAGAAAUGGAAAGGUGAUAAGCAAGGUGUCUUAGUCAACAUUCACAUCUACAACUUAAAAGAGGAGAGUUUCAAUUGGCUCAAUUUUGGGGAGAUUCAAUCUAUAAUGGGCUGGCUCCAAGGCAUAAAUAUCACAGCAACAGCACAUGGAAGAAAAAAUAUGUUCAGUUCAUGGCAGCCAGAAAUCAGAACAGAGGAAGAGGCUAGGGACUACAUAUGCCACCCAAGGUCCUGCCCAGACACACCCAGAAGUAUGCUUUACUAACCUAGGAGGCAUUUCUUACCCCAUGAUGUUGAUGAACCAGGAUAAAAUUUCAGGUAAGAUCACAGGAUUAACUGUCAUCUUCACACAUGAACACAUCUCCUUACACCAUGCUUAAUCUCCAUAUAAAGAGAGUAGUAAGUUUAUAAUUGUACCUAACACAAUGCAACUAUACCUCAUACAACCAGAAACACAAUAAUCCCUUUCCCAAAGUUUCAACAGUUCUAGAAUUUUUCAAAAGCCCAAGUCUAUAUCUCUUCUGAGACUCAAGGCCAAGUAUUAGCUAUGAACCUCUGCAAAAAUCAAAAACAAGUUACACAAUCCCUUAGUACAAUGUCUCAGGAUAAACAUUCCCAUUUCAAAACGGAGGAAUAGGACCAAAAGAAUUGGUCCAAAGCAAGAUUAAAAGCCAUCAGGACAGAUAUUAAAUUCUGUAGCACCAUUUCCAGUAUCUGGGGGCAUAUGUUGGUAAAAUUUGAGCACACAGAGAAUGGGUUCCCCUACUCUUAUGGCCUUGCCUGAUGACAUCCGUAAGGCCUAUCUCAGAAUGACUCUACUCAGAGCCUUCACGUUUCCUCUGUUCAUUUUCCACAUUCCUAGAAUUCCUGACUUUGUGAGGGUUCCUUUGCACUUUCAGCUUCAUUCCCAUGGCUUCAUGCAUUGUCCUCUCAGCAGCUCCUUGCCUGAAUUCCCAGGAAUUCUUUGGAAAUAUUGGUGGAAGACUCCUUGAUCCACAGUUCUUGUAUUCUAUAUGCCAGUAAGACCACCAUCCUAUGAACAAUUCCAAGAUCUUCUGGGAGCAGAAGCAGUAGCCACACUCCCAUGGACAGUGGCUGCAGCAGCCUCUGAGUUUCAAUGGGUGCUGAACAUGUGAAAUGAAUCCCUGGGAAUGAAUUCCCUAAGUGACCUUUAUCAAGCAGGGGUCACAGAGAUGCUUAUCUCAAAUGAAAUAGUAACAGUUUUGCAUCUUUAAGCCUGCUAUCUGUGUGAAGUUUCUGAUUCUUGAGAUGCCCAAGAAGCAUCUUUCUUCAUACCCCUAUAUUAAGUACUUAGUUUCUUUUUAAUGGUUCAAUUUUAAAUUCUUUAGCAUCCAUGCCUCCUUUGUUCCCAGCUUUAUAUAUGGUUUGUUUGAAGCCAAAAUUCAUGUGUUUCAAAUUUUUCUGCUCUUUAGCCCCUAAUUCUUACUACACAUCUGGCUCAAAGUAGCUCCUAGUACCCAUGACACAGUCUGAACCUUAGGCUGUCUUAAAAUUUCCUCUACAAGAUUAAUUAGUUCAAUGCCCUUAAUCUCCUGCAAAGUCUCAGGAUAUCGAUAAAACAAAGACAAAUUUUCUUCUGGAGUGUAAUGCACAUGCCCUCUACUCCAAUUGCCAAUCAAAUCCUUGUUCUAAACUGAAACUUCCUGAGCCUGAUCUUUACCAUCUGAAUCCCUCUCAGCAUUCUAGCCUUCUAAACACUCACCAGAAUAGCCUACCAAGCUAUUUUUACAGCAUUCUGAAUCUUCUCUAGCCAGUUUCUCCAAACCUUCCCACAAUCUUUCUGAAAACCUAUCCUAAUUGUUUUUAAACCACAUGAUCAGAUAUAGUCACAUCAAUGAGCCCACUUCUCUUGUACUAGUUUUCUGUAUUAGUCAGAUUUCCUAUAACUAGGAUAGAAUACCUGACAUCCACAACUUAAAGGGGAGAAUUUUAUUUGGCUCAUUGUUCAGGGGAUUUAAUCCAUGUUCAGUUGGCUGCAAGGCAGAAAUAGUACAGAAGCACAUGACAAAAUAAAACUGCUCAGUUCAUGGCAACCAGAGAGCAAGACUCUCUCUCUCCUGCUCUAGCAGCCUGAUCUAGAUCCACUUAGUGAACAUUUACCAGUUUUAGUGAACAGCAGAGUCCAUAUCCACAAUGUAAUUGUUUCUAGCCUGUCUGGUAGUGAAUGGCCUGACUUCCAUAGCAUACAUGUCCAUGGUAAAAACUAAAUUUGUUGGGACCCAGUUGUGUUAGAAACAUAUCCCCUAUCAUUAUUAUUAUUAUUUUUAAGUGACAGAGACUGUCAUUCCUUGUGAUUAAGCCUCUUUUAUAUACCAUUGUGCAAGUAACUCAAGGUAGGGGCUGACUAUUUGUUCCAGAACAUUUCUGGAUGUUUUUUCCUGUAGGAAAGAUAUAA